rnacentral:rRNA from 1 species
GUCCACGCCGUAAACGAUGAUCACUCGUCAUUGGCGAUACACUGUCAGUGACCUAGCGAAAGCGUUAAGUGAUCCACCUGGGGGAGUACGAUCGCAAGAUUGAAACUCAAAGGAAUUGACGGGGGCCCGCACAAGCGGUGGAGCAUGUGGUUUAAUUCGAUGAUACGCGAGGAACCCUUACCAGGGCUCGAACGUACGUUGACAGGGGGCGGAAACGUCCUCUUCUUCGGACAACGUGCGAGGUGCUGCAUGGCUGUCGU